GCAGGAAGAAGAAAGUCUUUUUAUGGCUGUUUUGUAAACUGAAACAUGUGCGUUUUUGUCUGUGUGGCUUCAAAGGGUCGACAUGCUGGAACACUCGGAUUGCUUUUCGCCGCUCUCUCUGUGAAAGGAACCGUUGUGAAGCCUUCAGCUAAUAUUAGACUGUGUGUGUGUGUGUGUGUGUGUGUGUGUGUGUGUGUGUGUGUGUGUGUGUGUGUGUGUGUGUGUGUGCGUGCAGGUGGUUUUGAAGGACUGUAUUACUUUUUAAGUUAAGUGUAAGAACUUUGCAGUAUUAUUUUGUUUUUGGCUUUACCCAACGCUGCUUUCAGUGAUCGCUUGUGUACUUGAUGUAUUGUUGUUAUAAGGUGGUCACGGAAACAUUUUCUUAAAGACAAUCAUAGGGAAUAAAUGUAUUUACAUCAGUGAAUAAAUAAAAAUGCUUUUUGCUGGA